UACGUAGGGUGCGAGCGUUGUCCGGAAUUAUUGGGCGUAAAGAGCUCGUAGGCGGUCUGUCGCGUCGAUCGUGAAAACUUGGGGCUUAACCCUGAGCUUGCGGUCGAUACGGGCAGACUUGAGUACUGCAGGGGAGACUGGAAUUCCUGGUGUAGCGGUGGAAUGCGCAGAUAUCAGGAGGAACACCGGUGGCGAAGGCGGGUCUCUGGGCAGUAACUGACGCUGAGGAGCGAAAGCGUGGGGAGCGAACAGG
rnacentral:rRNA from 1 species